CUGAGAGGAAAAAAGGCAAAAACUUUGCAACCACCUAAAAUGAAAGAUCUUAAUCUAAUUUUGUACCCUCUUGCUGGCUGUGGUUACGGCCUCAUCAGUGACUACAUUGUCUGACUUAAAGUUUUUUCUGUUAGCUUUUCAGAAGAUGCAGUGCCUCGGGCAUCCUGAGUUCUGCGAGUGGAUCUGGGGCUCUUUCAAUGGAGCACUCUGUGCCUUAAUGGCCCAGCAUCGAUCGGAGCUAUCGACCCGUUGGUUUCAAAUAACUGACAUGGUUUCCAAUGGAUCCAGGUCAGAAAAUCGACCCAUGUAUUCUUCCAUGACUUGGGCAGAAUAAAACAAUCAGGAGAGUCGAAAGCAACGUUCCGGUCCCCUGAUUCUCGCUCAGCUUAUCAUCCCAGUGCUCUGCCCUUCUGGAGCCGUGGUGACGGUGGCGAUGGUGGUGGUGGUGGGGGUGUGUGUGUGUGUCUUGGUUCAAAGAGCACCUUUGUUGGAAAGUCUUAUUAAGUUGCCUUGUGUCAUUCUCCCAGAUUUAUUGCUUUAAUCUGUUUUAGCUUUUUAUACACAGGAGCUGCAUUUUCCGUUGUUCAACCUCAGUUUCAACCUGCCUGUAGGGUACAAAAGUAUAUUUUUAUAUUUUACCUGUUAUCGUUUUCUUCUCUGGUGACCAAUGUUAAGCAAAACAAUGAUCUACUUUGGACUGGAGGGUUAGCAAAAUGUUAAGUCAUUUGUAUCUGUAGCACUCAUAUAUUUAUGGAUAAAAACGUGUGGACGUGAACCUGACCGCUGAAGACCACUGGGAUCCUGCUGGACGAGCCUAGGGUUUCAGGGGACGCUCCCUCUCCUCUGAGCUGUGUCACUGUCACCUCGCUGUAUUUCAUCUAGCUGGGGAACAUCCCCCAGUGCCAUGCCCGUCUCCCGCUGGGUCUCCUGGACCUCUGCAGCACCCUCUGGUCUCAUCUCCCAAUCCUGUCCAUGCUCUCGCCGGGU
rnacentral:lncRNA from 1 species